UACGAAGGGGGCUAGCGUUGCUCGGAAUCACUGGGCGUAAAGCGCACGUAGGCGGACUCUUAAGUCGGUGGUGAAAUCCUGGAGCUCAACUCCAGAACUGCCUUCGAUACUGGAAGACUUGAGUCCGGGAGAGGUGAGUGGAAUUGCGAGUGUAGAGGUGAAAUUCGUAGAUAUUCGCAAGAACACCAGUGGCGAAGGCGGCUCACUGGCCCGAUACUGACGCUGAGGUGCGAAAGCGUGGGGAGCAAACAGG
rnacentral:rRNA from 1 species